GAUGAACGCUAGCGACAGGCUUAACACAUGCAAGUCGAGGGGCAGCACAGGUAGCAAUACCGGGUGGCGACCGGCGCACGGGUGAGUAACGCGUAUGCAACUUACCUAUCAGAGGGGGAUAACCCGGCGAAAGUCGGACUAAUACCGCAUGAAGCAGGGGUCCCGCAUGGGGAUAUUUGCUAAAGAUUCAUCGCUGAUAGAUAGGCAUGCGUUCCAUUAGGCAGUUGGCGGGGUAACGGCCCACCAAACCGACGAUGGAUAGGGGUUCUGAGAGGAAAGUCCCCCACAUUGGUACUGAGACACGGACCAAACUCCUACGGGAGGCAGCAGUGAGGAAUAUUGGUCAAUGGCCGAGAGGCUGAACCAGCCAAGUCGCGUGAGGGAUGAAGGUUCUAUGGAUCGUAAACCUCUUUUAUAAGGGAAUAAAGUGCGGGACGUGUCCCGUUUUGUAUGUACCUUAUGAAUAAGGAUCGGCUAACUCCGUG
rnacentral:rRNA from 1 species